rnacentral:rRNA from 1 species
GGGAGUGAAAUAGAACCUGAAACCCUGCACUUACAAGCUGUGGAAGCACAUUUCUUGUGUGACCGCGUACUUUUUGUAGAACGGGCCAACGAGUUACGUUAAGUAGCAAGGUUAAGCACUUAAGGUGUGGAGCCGUAGCGAAAGCGAGUUUUAACUGAGCGUUCAGUUACUUGACGUAGACCCGAAACCGGGCGACCUACCCAUGAGCAGGAUGAAGCGAAAGUAAAAUUUCGUGGAGGUCCGAACCCACG